rnacentral:rRNA from 1 species
CAGGCAGGUAGUUUAAAGUCUUGUAAUUGGAAUGAUGGGAAUUUAAACCUCUUCCAGAGUAUCAAUUGGAGGGCAAGUCUGGUGCCAGCAGCCGCGGUAAUUCCAGCUCCAAUAGCGUAUAUUAAAAUUGUUGCAGUUAAAAAGCUCGUAGUUGAAUUUCUGCUGCAUUGCUUGUGUCCCUCUGGGGUCUGUGCAUGUGGCUUUUUUCGGACGGAGUUUCUUUGUCUGAAUGUUUACUUUGAGAAAAUUAGAGUGCUCAAAGCAGGCUUUCGCCUUGAAUAGUUUAGCAUGGAAUAAUAAAGUAGGACUUUGGUUCUAUUUUGUUGGUUUUAGGUACCAAAGUAAUGGUUAAUAGGAACAGUUGGGGGCAUUCGUAUUUAACUGUCAGAGGUGAAAUU